rnacentral:rRNA from 1 species
CCUACGGGUGGCAGCAGUGGGGAAUAUUGGACAAUGGGCGAAACUCUGACGCAGCCACGCCGCGUGAGUGAAGAAGGAUUUCGGUAUGUAAAGCUCUGUUAGCAGGGAAGAAAAUGACUGUACGUGAUUAAGAAGCCCCGGCUAAAUACGUGCCAGCAGCCGCGGUAAUACCUAGGGGGCAAGCGUUACCCGGAUUUACUGGGUGUAAAGGGUGCGUAGACGGCAGAGCAAGUCUGGAGUGAAAUGCCGGGGCUUAACCCCGGAACUGCUUUGGAAACUGUGCAGCUAGAGUGCAGGAGAGGUAAGUGGAAUUCGUAGUGUAGCGGUGAAAUGCGUAGAUAUUAGGAGGAACACCAGUGGCGAAGGCGGCUUACUGGACUGUAACUGACGUUGAGGCUCGAAAGCGUGGGGAGCAAACAGGAUUAGAUACCCCAGUAGUC